GUUGAGCUAACCAAUACUAAUUGCCCGUGAGGCUUGACCAUAUAACACCCAAGCAAUU
rnacentral:rRNA from 1 species